GAAGGAAUGCUCGCUGUUUCUUGAGUGUCUGUUGGACUGGGACUCUGGCUUUGGAUGAAGUAUUUUUGUGGGCCUUUGAGCAGGUGUUUUGUGUCUCCGGACCAGUAGAAGGGGCCAGAGGAAGUCUCGGAGCCACCCAGGCUUGUGAGCAAAGCCGUUGGCGACUGAGACACUGGCAUUUUGAGGAUCAUCUGACUCCAUUAGUUACAGUUCUGGGUAUGAAAUGUCCCUGGGUUUUUGGCACCAUCCUCCUCAGAGUCACAGCUUGCAGGAGAUAGCCACGUACUCCAGAAAGGCAAAGUGUUUGCUGAUACGGGCCUACACACGGGCCUACACACGUGCAUGAGGCCCAGUGUUUACCACCACUGACAGACUGUAUUUAGAAGCAACAGUGGAAGUGAAAAGAACCUCCCCAGAGCCACAAAAGCUGGAUUCUUCAGAUGGCAGAUGAAGGGGGGGCCCUGUGGGGAGCAAGACCUUCGUGCCAGGAGAGUGGAUUCCAAGGCCUGUGUGACUUCCCUCCAGCAAAUCUUAAUCCCAGUCUAAUCGAAAAACUGUGCUCCUCCUCCAGCUCCUGUCUGCCUCCAGGCUCCUCUGAGUAAUUCCUGUUCCCAGAAGGCAUCAUCUUAUUCCUCCAACCAUCAUGGCAUCUCAGUAUGGCCCGGAGUAUUUCUGGAAGUGAGUAUCCCCUUUCCUAAAGACAGCUUUUGAUGUUUUUAAUGAAUUCUGACAACUGCCACGAUUUUAACAUCCUCUCUUCAUAGCACUGGAUCCAGUCUGCUUACAGUGCUUAUUUAGUAGCCAGGAGUCCAUACAGUUGUUUUUAUGGUGAUGCUUUCGUUUUUCUCUUCUGCCCUAUCUCCACUCCUCACUUCCUGUUGCUGUAAUAAAGAACUUCCUCCUUUCUUUCCUAGGCUGCUCAGCGCUGCUGAAAGUUGCCUUAGGAGCAUGGAGAUUAGGAUUUCAUAGGAUUUCACUAAAAGUGUGUGUGUGUGUGUGUGUGUGUGUGUGUGUGUGUGUGUGUGUGUGCGCGCGCGCGCACGUAUGCAUGUGUGUAAUUCUUCUCUCAAAUAAUACAUCCUGACCACAGUUUCCCCUCACCCCAUUUCUCUCAGUCCCCCUGACAUUUCCCCUCUCCACCAGGUCUCUUCCUCCUCCAUUUCCCAUCAAAAAAGAGCAGGCUUUCUAGUGAUGCUAACUGAACCCAGCGUAGCAAGAUACAAUAAUUCUAGGCACAAUCC
rnacentral:lncRNA from 1 species